GUUCAAAUACAGCAGGCAAAUCAGUAACAUUGAGAUUUAACUGCAGUCACUGUUCAAAUUACUGGGGUCAUAUUGCUACAAUGUAAAAGGUCGACGCUGCUCUCGUGGCGCAUAACUGCAGCUUCCCUCCUCAGUAUUCCAAAGUUUACCUGAGAAGCUCGCCCUUGCUAACUCCCGCAGUUUCUUUAUAUCAUUCUUUGGGUGGUACAACAGGAACAAAACCGCUGGUAGGUUCAGAGAAACCCGGCAUGAGUCUGCUCCAAUACCUUCUCGGAAGCAAAGGUAGAACAAGUCUUUUGCCAACUGAUAUCGGU